GUGGGGAAUUUUGGACAAUGGGCGCAAGCCUGAUCCAGCAAUGCCGCGUGCAGGAAGAAGGCCUUCGGGUUGUAAACUGCUUUUGUACGGAACGAAACGGUCCGGGUUAAUACCCUGGGCUAAUGACGGUACCGUAAGAAUAAGCACCGGCUAACUACGUGCCAGCAGCCGCGGUAAUACGUAGGGUGCAAGCGUUAAUCGGAAUUACUGGGCGUAAAGCGUGUGCCGGCGGUUUUGUAAGACAGGCGUGAACUCCCCGGGCGCAACCUGGGAAUUGCGCUUGUGACUGCAAGGCUGGAGUGCGGCAGAGGGGGAUGGAAUUCCGCGUGUAGCAGUGAAAUGCGUAGAUAUGCGGAGGAACACCGAUGGCGAAGGCAAUCCCCUGGGCCUGCACUGACGCUCAUGCACGAAAGCGUGGGGAGCAAACAGGAUUAGAUACCCCUGUAGUCC
rnacentral:rRNA from 1 species